UACGGGGGGAGCAAGCGUUGUUCGGAUUUACUGGGCGUAAAGGGCGCGUAGGCGGCCAGCACAAGUCAGUUGUGAAAUCUCCGAGCUUAACUCGGAACGGUCAACUGAUACUGUGCGGCUAGAGUGCGGAAGGGGCAACUGGAAUUCUUGGUGUAGCGGUGAAAUGCGUAGAUAUCAAGAGGAACACCUGCGGCGAAGGCGGGUUGCUGGGCCGACACUGACGCUGAUGCGCGAAAGCGUGGGGAGCGAACAGG
rnacentral:rRNA from 1 species